rnacentral:tRNA from 1 species
UCCCUGGAGGACUAGUGGUUAGGCCACAGUGCUCUCACCACUGCGGCCCAGGUUUGAUUCCCAGCCAGGGAA